UGUGGGUGCCCUGUGUGUCCUCUGAGGGAGGCUCCUCGGUGGCCCUGCCAGUGGCUCCAGCUGUGGAGGGCUUGCUCUUCCCUACAUUCAGGGUCAGACGUUUUGAACGCAUCAACUCUCUUAAUCAGCAUGACACCGUUUUGAGGCAGGAAUAAGCACCAUCCUUCUUUCCAGUCUAAUUAACACAAUAACUCACUUGGUUGCUCAAGACCAUAUCUGAAUAGCAGCUACCCUCGAGAUGGUAAGAUGACAGAUGUCUGGCUUUCUUGCAAUGUGGAGUAAGCAACUUUGAUCAGAAGGAGGCAUCAGGCAUGCCACAGAAGGGAAAGUACUCAGGAAGACUAAACACAGCCUCUACGACCAUAAGACGAUGGGUGCAAUAUACAAGGACCUUGUGAAGAAGCAAGGUAGGAUACAGGAGUGAAAACAGGACACUCUACAGUGUUUGUAGCCUAAUGGCCAGAAGGCAAUGUAGCCUAGAGCAUCUUUCCUCUUGGCCAAGUGGAUCUGCUGCAUGUGCACGUGUUAGAGUGACAUAUGUAGUACCUGAUGUCAUCACAUGGCCCUCGUGAGACCAUACAGCACCAUCUGGGAUCUAGGCCAGCUGUGAAUGACUCGAGGCACAGCUAACAGUUCUGGUUCUUUAGGGCUACUCCUGAAGUAACACUGAUAUUUCUAAGACUUGGAAGAACAGGAGGGGACCUGGGUCCCUGAUCCUCUCCUAGCCCAAGAUAUCUGUCACAUGAGAGCAGAAUUACAGCCUGAUGUCUUCUGCACAGCUACAUACAGAGGCUGGAAGCAGCUGGUGUGACCAUAUAAGACUGUAAAGGAGGACACGACUAGAAGAGCAGAGGAAAAAGAAAAUCAGAGGAAAACAGUCCGUUUUAAAACAAGCCGUUCUGUCCCCACACGUGGCUGCCAUCAUUUCCUCCUCCAUAAGCUCCUAACAUCGUACCCAAAAGCUGGGAGGCACGCAACCUGAAGCAAGGAGAUAGGCAGUCUGGAUUCUCCAUUUCAGUCUCAGCAUCCUCAUUUAACACGACGAAAUAGCUAAUACAUUCUGUGAUUCGGGAAUCAGAGGCUGCAAGCUAAGGUCUUACAUAACAGGUGUGGCCUCACUUCCCUACCCCACAGUUCUAAAAGAAAUGUUAUUGUGGGUACCGAUCUGCGCGAAUAACGCUGCAGAGAUGGACAGUCAGGGCAGGGAACCUGAGACUCUCCAAGGAGGCGAGCAAAGCCUUUGCCUUCAAAAAGAGACAGGAGAGGAGUGCAGUUUUGCUUUCAAGCCCCAAGGUGUUGGCCUUUGCCGUAAGGUAAUCUCUUUCUUAGAGCGCCACCUACUGGUGCAGGGUUUUGCAGCAACGCCUAGCCUCGGCUUGUACAAGCACCUGUUCUCGACCAACCUCAGUGUGUUUUAGAAAAGAGUCUUACAUGAUACUUCAAAACAAGAUCUCUCUCAUGAAUGAGGUUUCUAUUGUAGCUUUACCAUU
rnacentral:lncRNA from 1 species